UUCAUUGAGACUGGGGAGGUAACCCAAGGGAAGCCCACCUUUUUUACCUGUAUAAUAUUACCUGUACCAUUGACUCAGCUGAUCGUUUAUCCUACACACACUAUAGGACAUGUAAUGUCUACCAACAGUGGGACGUCCCAGGCAUCUGGACCUCUCGACCACUUCUCCGGCAGAACGUGAAGCUGUGACCGGUAGGUGAAGGUCGACCUAACCUGGCAAUAUUCCGCACUUGUCGACCCGAGCACAGGGACAUACUAACUGGGCACGUGGAGCAGUACAAUCUUCAUCACGGUUAUACUUGUUACUUGUCAUCGAACUUCUGUCAGGCUUGGGAAGCCUAUCUGGGUCAUUUGGUAGGAUACCAGGGACGUACAAUUUCCGAUACUGACGGGUAUAUUUGGUACAUACAUAAGAAAAUGUCAGAAACAAGCCACUCUACAGAUGACCUACCGUUUCCCACAAUUAUCUUAAACUUUUCUUGUUUAACCAUUGAUUAAGAUUCUAUACGUAUUAAUUUUAUUUUCCAUGAUAUUUUACAUCGGAUAUCAUACGUGUUGAAUAUCAGCAAACAAUAAUUCGACAAAAUGUGCAAUGCCAAAAAACUAAUAUUUAAAGUUUGAUGCACAUUCAGCUCCAUACUAUUUCGAUGCCAUACUACUAGUGUUUCCACAAACUCCCAACUUUGUUGUAAAUAAAGUUGAAGGUUAGGUACACUAUAACACCGUAUUCAACAUAUCGUGAUCAUUUUAUGGUAAAAACAAUUAUAAUAGAAAAAAAACGAGAUUGGCAGACCUUUCAAACACUCGACAAUUUAGUUUCUAAAAUGUUAAAAAAGAAAAUAAGCUGAUGAAUGUUAAAACAAAUAAUGAAUACAUACCGUCUCAUCCUGGGCUCCGAGGGAGAUCUUCUCGCCAUGUUCAGCAUGACUUUCUGGGAAACCCCCUGAACAGCUCCGUUCAGAUGCGGAGAGGAUAGUGUCGGAGAGGAUAGUGUCCGAGAGAGCGGCUGUUCCAUACUAAAAUCCACGGAGUCCCGGAACAAUCUCCACGGUCCGAGAGUAGUGAUGUAUAGUAUUAUACAGAGGUAUACAGUCUAUAAGUCCAGUAUGCUUAAGUAUUACUUGACCACAGAGAAACUUUCAAAGCCAUUGUAAGUACUGUAUAUAUCCCAGUGUUAAUAGAGUACUAAUUCUGUCCAUCACCAGCUCGAUUUUAGUGUGUCGUUAUCAAAUACACAGUGCAGCAUGGCUUCCACGGCACGAAUAAAGUCUGCGUAUUUGAAAUC